GACGAACGCUGGCGGCGCGCCUAACACGUGCAAGUCGAACGGGGUUAUAGGAACAGCUUGCUGGGAAUAUAACUUAGUGGCGGACGGGUGAGUAACACGUGAGCAACCUGCCUUUCAGAGGGGAAUAACGUUUGGAAACGAACGCUAAUACCGCAUAACAUUGGGAUAUGGCAUCAUGACCCAAUCAAAGAUUUAUCGCUGAAAGAUGGGCUCGCGCCCGAUUAGGUAGUUGGUGAGAUAAUAGCCCACCAAGCCGACGAUCGGUAGCCGGACUGAGAGGUUGAACGGCCACAUUGGGACUGAGACACGGCCCAGACUCCUACGGGAGGCAGCAGUGGGGGAUAUUGCACAAUGGGGGGAACCCUGAUGCAGCGACGCCGCGUGAGGGAAGACGGUUUUCGGAUUGUAAACCUCUGUCUUUAGGGACGAAACAAAUGACGGCACCUAAAGAGGAAGCCACGGCUAACUACGUGCCAGCAGCCGCGGUAAUACGUAGGUG
rnacentral:rRNA from 1 species